rnacentral:lncRNA from 1 species
AUGCUUGGCGACCCAAAAACCCAUAAUAUAUACUGACUACGAAAACCCAUAGUAUGGUAACAUUACAAGGAUGAUACACCGAGGAAACCCAUAAUAUACAGUGAAUAAAGGGAGGAGUAAGUAGGCUAAUAGGAAUAUAGUAUGAACGGAAUGCCAGCAUAUCUUUAGCUCCUGACAUUUAGAGUCCAGAGAGGAAAGAGCCAUGAGUAAAGAUAACACCCAGCAUUAAAAUGGUAGCAGCAUCAUAUUACAAGACCAUACUCUGCGUAGAAGAGCCACUGAGCUGAAAAUGGGUUCCAUGAGUGGGAAAAGCAGCACAAAUGAACACCCCAGCUGUGGUCCAUAAAGACAGCAACCAAUAGCAAACACAGAGAUGAG